GAUGAAGAACGUAGCGAAAUGCGAUAAGUAAUGUGAAUUGCAGAAUUCAGUGAAUCAUCGAAUCUUUGAACGCACAUUGCGCCCUCUGGUAUUCCGGGGGGCAUGCCUGUUCGAGCGUCAUUAUAACCACUCAAGCUCUCGCUUGGUAUUGGGGUUCGCGGUUCCGCGGCCCCUAAAAUCAGUGGCGGUGCCUGUCGGCUCUACGCGUAGUAAUACUCCUCGCGAUUGAGUCCGGUAGGUCUACUUGCCAGCAACCCCAAUUUUUACAGGUUGACCUCGGAUCAGGUAGGGAUACCCGCUGAACUUAAGCAUAUCAAUAAGCGGAGGA
rnacentral:misc_RNA from 1 species